GGGGCGUUAGCUCAGCUGGAAGAGCGCCGUGUUCACACCGCGGAGGUCACUGGUUCGAGCCCAGUACGCCCCACCA
rnacentral:tRNA from 1 species